rnacentral:rRNA from 1 species
GACGAACGCUGGCGGCGUGCCUAAUACAUGCAAGUUGAGCGCUGAAGGUUGGUACUUGUACCAACUGGAUGAGCAGCGAACGGGUGAGUAACGCGUGGGGAAUCUGCCUUUGAGCGGGGGACAACAUUUGGAAACGAAUGCUAAUACCGCAUAAAAACUUUAAACACAAGGUUUAAGUUUGAAAGAUGCAAUUGCAUCACUCAAAGAUGAUCCCGCGUUGUAUUAGCUAGUUGGUGAGGUAAAGGCUCACCAAGGCGAUGAUACAUAGCCGACCUGAGAGGGUGAUCGGCCACAUUGGGACUGAGAAACGGCCCAAAACCCUACGGGAGGCAGCAGUAGGGAAUCUUCGGCAAUGGACGAAAGUCUGAACGAGCAACGCCGCGGGAGGGAAGAAGGGUUUCGGAUCGUAAAACUCUGUUGGUAGAGAAGAACGUUGGUGAGAGUGGAAAGCUCAUCAAGUGACGGUAACUACCCAGAAAGGGACGGCUAACUACGUG